AGUUUCUGGGGAGGCAAAUGCAGCUGACGCAAUGUAUGCUGUUGUCACUGAACAACGGAAACAAAGAGAUAUGGAUGGAUAUGCUUGCUAUGCAUUGAGCAUGGGACCAGGAGAACCGAGCUCUUCUGCCCCACCAGUUCUCUCUGCACAUUUGUAUCAUACAAUUGAUUAGGCAAGACCUGAUAGUAGUCAACAGCCCGUUUUCCCUUUUGUGGAAAAUAAUUUUAAAGCUAAAGUUAAAAUAGUGUGCACAACCAUGUUAUUGCAUAUUUGACAUUUUUUGUUUAUCCUGUUUGUCUUAAAACAAUAGCAUUUAAAUGCACUUUUAUGUUUGAGAGAUUUUUAAAAAGCUUUUUACUAAAAUAUUCAAUUGUGUCACAUAUUUAGCUUUUAAAAAAAUAAAUGGCAAAAGACAGAAUAGUUUAAUAUUGCUUGUGUUUAUCCAUGUGCAAUAUUCCUAUUACUAAGCUUAUUUUUAUUGUUCAUUUUAUUUUAUUUUAAGGGGGACACCCUGUACCAAAAAAGUGUAUUG